rnacentral:rRNA from 1 species
AUUCUCUGGAUUGUAAACUUCUUUUAUCUGGGAAGAAAUGCCGAUUUUCUAAUUGGUUUGACGGUACCAGAUGAAUAAGCACCGGCUAACUCCGUGCCAGCAGCCGCGGUAAU